rnacentral:tRNA from 4 species
GGAGAGUUGGCUGAGUGGUCGAAGGCGCACGACUGGAAAUCGUGUGUGCGUGAUGAGCGUACCCAGGGUUCAAAUCCCUGACUCUCCGCCA